AUUGAACGCUGGCGGCAGGCCUAACACAUGCAAGUCGAACGAGUGGCGGACGGGUGAGUAAUGUCUGGGAAACUGCCUGAUGGAGGGGGAUAACUACUGGAAACGGUAGCUAAUACCGCAUACCAUCAGAUGUGCCCAUAUGGGAUGGGCUUGUUGGUGGGGUAACGGCUCACCACGGCGACGAUCCCUAGCUGGUCUGAGAGGAUGACCAGCCACACUGGAACUGAGACACGGUCCAACCUCCGACGGGAGGCGGCAGUGGGAGAUUUUGCACAAGGUGCGCAAGCCUGAUGCAGCCAUGCCGCGGGGAUGAAGAAGGCUUUCGGGUUGUAAAGUACUUUCAGCGGGGAGGCGUUACCCGCAGAAGAAGCACCGGCUAACUCCGUGCCAGCAGCCGCGGUAAUAC
rnacentral:rRNA from 1 species